rnacentral:rRNA from 1 species
UAAGGAAUAUUGCUCAAUGGGAGAAAUCCUGAAGCAGCAACGCCGCGUGGAGGAUGAAGGGUCUAUGACUUGUAAACUCCUGUAAAGAAGGAAAAAAUUCCCAUUAGAUGGGAGAUGAUGGUACUUCUGGAGUAAGCCCCGGCUAACUACGUGCCAGCAGCCGCGGCAAUACGUAGGGGGCAAGCGUUGUCCGGAUUUACUGGGUGUAAAGGGUGCUCAGGCGGAUUUGUAAGUCAGAGGUGAAAUCUUACAGCUUAACUGUGAAACUGCCUUUGAUACUGCAAGCCUAGAGUAUGGAAGAGAGUGAUGGAAUAUCUGGUGUAGCAGUGAAAUGCGUAGAUAUCAGAUAGAACACCAAUGGCGAAGGCAGUCACUUGGUCCAUUACUGACGCUAAAGCACGAAAGCGUGGGUAGCAAACA